CUGGCACUUCAAUCCACUGCAAAAGACUCAGCAAUGGACAGUUAAUGCUGGAGAUCUUUACUUAGGUCUCCACAUAGGGAAUAAUGGAAACCCUUGAAGGCCAAGUCGUCGUGAUUGCACAGUAACUUGAAUCCCAAUCCAGAUCUGCUUUUUGAUGACUUAGAAUAUCCUUAUAUAUUACAAUAGGGGUUAAAUUAUUCAUUGUAUAAAUACCAAUAAACUAUAGAAAGUAGGGGAAAGGUUAGUUAAACUGGAGUAAAGGUAAGUGAUGUUCAGGCUGAUUCAUUUUUUCCUAAUCGCAUGACGAAGCAAAACUGAAUCCUUCUUUAAUGAAUUUUCCCCCUGGGCAAUAAUUAAGGAAUUUGCGUUGGCUGCUGACUCAUUGUUCAUGCAUUAAUAUGUUUUUCUACAUUCAUUUUGAAACCCUUGUUUCCAUCUACGUGCCUUGGGUACUGUUUGCUGAGCACUGAGCCAUCUUUUAUUUUCCCAGGUGUCCCCUGUGCCAAUUCCAGGAGGGACCAUGUGAAGAAGAGAAUAUCAGGGGAAGUUCUGCAUGCGUUUACUCAGGCACAGUGCUCACCAGAGAGUACCCCCAGGCUUGUGUUAUUCUGUGGAGAGGAACGCCAACAGAAAGGAAAGUAGCGCCCACGUGCUCUAAUACAGAGGCGGAAGGUAACAGACAGGAGAUAAACGUGCAGGAAAGAGCUGAGGUUCCGUUCGAAGCCACAACACAACGCUCUGGUUACUCCGAUUAUACAAAUUAAUCCGUAUCCUACUUACUCUGACAUUAUGGGAUAUAAAACUGCUGCUCUCACUGUACUGCAUCCUUACCCUCCCAGCAUACCCUUUAAAACAUUCAUGCAGAUUUAACCUAAUGGCAGAUUCACCAUUUAAGUGUCAGUCAGCUGGCAUGUGCUACAUAGUUUUAGGAGUAAGAACCAGCAGUGCAGGGAAUAUAAGUGGUCAGACAAAGGGGAAAAAGACAGAGUUUGGGUGCAAAUCUGUUUAAAAAUGCAUUCACGUCUAAGAGCUCAAAAAAGCAGCAGCUCCUGAAAUGAUCUCUGGGGACCAUCAUGUGCAGCCAAUAGAAAUAUAAAUCUGAGCCAUGACUGAGAUCCUGUUCAGCAGUUCAUUUAAGCUGCUCACACUUGAACUUCCCUGUACAAACUUUCUAGUACGCCAACGUUCCCUCCAUGCUCUGAUGCCAUCAGUAACCCCACACCUAAUGCAACUGUAUAUACAACUGAAAUAUUUAUAUGUGAAUGGCUGACUCAGUACCACAUGUACCUUACUUUAUAAAGAUUCCAUGGGUACAGUCUCCACCUCCAAGGUUCUGCAGCCUGUUCAGCAACACCCAGGUUCCAUAAGUAACCCUCUCUGCCUCUGCUGA